rnacentral:rRNA from 1 species
GACGAACGCUGGCGGCGUGCUUAACACAUGCAAGUGGAGCGACGAACCAGGGCUUGCCCUGGGGCAGAGCCGCGAACGGGUGAGUAACACGUGGGUUACCUGCCCCGAUGACCGGGACAACCCGAGGAAACUCGGGCUAAUACCGGAUGUGUCCGAAAGGGGAAAGGAAGCUUCGGCCUCCGCAUCGGGAUGGGCCCGCGGCCCAUUAGCUUGUUGGUGAGGUAACGGCUCACCAAGGCUGCGAUGGGUAGCUGGUCUGAGAGGACGAUCAGCCACACUGGGACUGAGACACGGCCCAGACUCCUACGGGAGGCAGCAGUGGGGAAUCUUGCGCAAUGCGCGAAAGCGUGACGCAGCAACGCCGCGUGGGGAAGAAGGC